rnacentral:rRNA from 1 species
GAUGAACGCUGACAGAAUGCUUAACACAUGCAAGUCUACUUGAAUUUGGGUCCUAGACUUAGAUUUGGGUGGCGGACGGGUGAGUAACGCGUAAAGAACUUGCCUCACAGUUAGGGACAACAUUUGGAAACGAAUGCUAAUACCUGAUAUUAUGAUUAUACGGCAUCGUAUAAUUAUGAAAGCUGUAUGCGCUGUGAGAGAGCUUUGCGUCCCAUUAGCUAGUUGGAGAGGUAACGGCUCACCAAGGCGAUGAUGGGUAGCCGGCCUGAGAGGGUGAACGGCCACAAGGGGACUGAGACACGGCCCUUACUCCUACGGGAGGCAGCAGUGGGGAAUAUUGGACAAUGGACCAAGAGUCUGAUCCAGCAAUUCUGUGUGCACGAUGACGUUUUUCGGAAUGUAAAGUGCUUUCAGUUGGGAAGAAAAAAAUGACGGUACCA